GAGUCUACAGCUAAGGGUGGAUUUCCCGGGUCCUAGGGUCAUAUCGGGGCUCUGCUGAAACCUAGAGCAGUUAGGUCCAUUAACCUGUAACUUGCUCGAGAAAUGAUGUGCUGCCACCUGCCUUCACUCAUCAAGCUACUUUAAUUGCCCUCCACGUAGCCUCAACAAGAUGCUUUCCUGAGUUGUUGGCCGGGAACUUGGACUCAGCUGUGUCCAGCUUGAGCUCAAGCCAGUUGGGGCCACAGAUCCUCCUCCUGCUCCUGCUCAAAUGUCUGAUCCGGGACCUUUGACAUCAGAGGACUCAAACCCCCACCCUCAGACCCCGCCUCCACAGCUAAUUGCACCUGCGCAGGAGGAAGGUUCACUUGCCUUUCUUUCAUCUCCAAUCACCUCUGCCCGCGCUGCCCACGCUGCCCACGCCCCUACACCAGCCACGCCUUGGCUUUAGUCCAUAAAUAGCCCAAGCCCCUCACCUUUGGGAGGUGGAUUUGCGAUUUCCCGGCCUCCUGAGCAAACCCCUUCCGCCGCUGCCAACCUUAGCGUCUUGGUGUCUUGGCUUCUGGCUGUCUGGGCGCUGGGCAAACAAACCUGGUUCGGGAACACUACCAUUAACUUUUUUGCACAAACCGUUUUCCAAAGUGGGUGCACUCUUUUACAGUCUAACUAGCAAGCUACUAGAGGAUGCUGUCCUCCAAAAUGGAGCAAGAAGAGGAGGAUGCAGGAGUCAGGGAUGCAGGAGAGCAGAGGGAAAACAAGAUUCAACAUACAGACUUGAAAGAAGAGCCAAGUGCCAUCCU